rnacentral:rRNA from 1 species
AUUGAACGCUGGCGGCAGGCCUAACACAUGCAAGUCGAGCGGAUGAAGGGAGCUUGCUCCUGGAUUCAGCGGCGGACGGGUGAGUAAUGCCUAGGAAUCUGCCUGGUAGUGGGGGAUAACGUCCGGAAACGGGCGCUAAUACCGCAUACGUCCUGAGGGAGAAAGUGGGGGAUCUUCGGACCUCACGCUAUCAGAUGAGCCUAGGUCGGAUUAGCUAGUUGGUGGGGUAAAGGCCUACCAAGGCGACGAUCCGUAACUGGUCUGAGAGGAUGAUCAGUCACACGGGAACUGAGCCACGGUCCAGACUCCUACGGGAGGCAGCAGUGGGGAAUAUUGGACAAUGGGCGAAAGCCUGAUCCAGCCAUGCCGCGUGUGUGAAGAAGGUCUUCGGAUUGUAAAGCACUUUAAGUUGGGAGGAAGGGCAGUAAGUUAAUACCUUGCUGUUUUGACGUUACCAACAGAAUAAGCACCGGCUAACUUCGUG